UAAAACACACACACACACACACAUACACACACAAAAGAUCUAUCCUUUUUAUGUCUUUCAGGUUAUUAAUUAAUAAAAAUAAUAAUAAUAAUAAAUACUUGAAAGUUUGCUAAGGAACAUCAGUUCUUUGAUUGCCAGCGAAUUAAUAAAGACUGAGAAAUCAAAUGGAGCCAUGCAUUACACAACACAUCACUUUUAUUUGGUUUUGAUAACAUUUAUGUAAUUAUGGUGACUAAGCACCAGGAGAAAGGAAAUCUUUGUUUAAAAAUAAAUAAAUGAAUAAAUGAGUUAUGCAUUUCACUGAUGUCCUGAGAACUUUAAGUCAACACCAGAUAGACCCGGCAGGAGACACUGAACAAAACCACCAAUAACAGGAUUUUACAGUAUCCAUACAUUCAAAAAAAUCUAUACAGAACCAAAAAUCCCCUAAAAAAUAAAUAGAGAUUAAUUAGCACCUUUCUUAAUUAACAAAAGACACUUGCAAACUCCUAACUGUUUUUUUGCAGGUCACCUUUAAAGUAAAAUCCAUCUUAUUGCUGAAAUCCUUCUGCCUAAAACUUAAACCAGGUGAAAGCAGGCUUUCUGUGAACUUUUGCCUGGUGUCAUUCAGACAGACAGCAAUGCAAGUCUCAGCUUCUUGCUCAAUUUCAUUUGGUAGUAGAACGCCAAAAUAAUUUUAUGUCAGCAGCCAGCAGCCCGAGCAAUGGUUAAACCACAGAGAGGAAUAUUAGGAAACCGUGGCCAUAAUCCUUUGACAGAGUGGUUAUUUAAACUUGUCAGUUUUAGUCUUCAGUUCCAGCUUUCGAAUACUGGUUUACAACUCGCAGAAGAAAAGGCCCACACAAAUGCAACACCUUUACAUUAGACACAAGGGGUUAUGAACUGUGAACGAAAAACAGAAAAUGUGGUAGCACAGCAGAGCAGUGCCUACCACAGCAGGACAGCAGGAGGAAAUACCACCGCCAUGUCUUACAAAUACAGCUCGGUUCUCACUGACAUGAUGGCUGAAGGGCUGCCCUGCCCACCCUGCUCCCUCCGCGGCCAUCUCACGGGGUUUCCCGCUGUCCCCAGGACCUGCUGCAGAGGCAGAAGUGGGCCGCAGGAACAACGUGGAGCUGGGCGAGGUGGGGACACUCACCGAGAUCAUGGUGCUUGCCUGGGAUGUGGCCGGGGCGCUCAGGCCGGCUCUGUUUACAGCAGCGUCCCGGUGACGCCCGGCCGUCCCCUGGGAGCUGCAGAUCCCAGCACACGAAGUGCCCUCCGGCCUGCUCCGUGCGCGGGGACUCAAGGUCCACAUGCUCAGCUCCUUCUCACCAAGCAUCUUCCCUGGUUUCUAGCUAUGGAAAAUACUCCUGAAAGCAGCACUAAGAUGUUUGUGAGCACAUGGAAGAGCACAGGGACAAUACAACGUGGGGGAAGAGAAUUUCCAUGA
rnacentral:lncRNA from 1 species